AAGAAUUCUCUGAGGAAGCGCAUGUGAAUGCGAACAUGAGAGAGUGAGAGUGAGAAAGAGAGAGGAGGAGGAGGAGGAGCAGCAGUCAGGGAGAGCGGGCACAAAAGAAAAGACAGAAAGAACACAAAGAUACCGGAUGAAAAAAGGAGUCACAAAGGAUACAGAGACUACAACAAAAGCAUAGGAGUGAAGGAUAGAGACACAAGACAGGCAACAGAAGGAACAAGAGAAGCGUCAACUACGGCGGAGACCAGAGCGAGGGAUAGAAAGAGAGAGAAAGAAAUGGGCCAGCUCUCCCCUGCAAGGCACACCCUGGCAUUCAGCCGUAUAGAGGAGAGCAGGAGAAACGUUGAAAGAGAGAGAACAGUAUUUGUCAAGAACUGAGGAAACCGAGGCGUCUGUGCUGCGUCAAGGAAAAGAGACAGAGAGACGGCGACGUGGUAAAGGAAGUGACUUUUAGGAAUCAACUGUGAUAUGUAAAUGCCAACUUUUGCUAUCAUCUCAGGCCCUUUUGCUCGCGUUGUGUCAUCAUUGCGAGAGGAUAUGAAUAUGUAUCGUCUGAUUGCUUAGAUAAACAUCAGUGCGCCGAUGAUUUACUGAUGUCUGGAUCUGGAAGAACAGGGGAAGAGCUUCAUUGUGCAGCACAGGCACACACUGUUCCACAAAAAUGGCAGCAGUGAGUCUGACAUCAACAGGAUGUGAGGUCAUGAGAAUAAACUGCAGUGCUCAAUGUUAAAGGUGUACACCUCAGGCUUCAUUGAUGUGACCGUUGCUUCCGGAAGAGACGGCACGAAUGUUUUCUUUUGCUUUCGCCUCUCACCAUUAAUGCCUGUGAUGACGAAUUUCAUAAAUGUCACUAACAAGUGUUAGUUUAUUCAUUUGCCACCCAGCAUUAGUCACAGUGCGUGUUUGAGUGCUGGAAUGACGCUGACACUCUCUCUUGUCUCGGUCUGUACAGUUGUGCUUCAUCGUCUUUGGCUCCCCAUAAAAAAAAAAAAAAAUCUCAUUCAGCCACUCCAUGAUUUUUCUAUAAAUAUCGAACACGCUGGUCUCAGGAGAGAAAUCUAAUCUAUUUUAUCAAGUGCUUGCAACUAGGUAACAGAAGAUCGGAUUUCUAUUCAACUUGGAUUUUUAGCAUGUACAUGAAAAGCUUGUUUCAAAUCAAACAAGAGACUCUGAUGAUUCAUAUGAAACUUGCUAUGACAUUUAACAUCCAUUAACAAGCUUGAAAUUACACUUUCUUUCACUAGAUUUUUUCUUUUGUCCUUUACUUUGUAUUUACAGUGACUUUCACCUUUUAAAGUCAUGUAAUUUCAGUCCUGUAGCUCAUUUCUAAAGGUGCAGUCACAUUUAUUGUUGUUCAGGGAAUUUUCAUGAGCAAAUAACAGUAAUUUCAAGUCAUCACCUUUAUGUAGUGCUUCACACUAUCAUAACAGCUUCUGUAGUAAUAUUCAACUCUAUUUAAACUAUAAUAAGGAAAAUAAUAGAAUCAGUGAUGCAGGCUUCUUCAAAUAUGAGGCAAAUAAACGACAAUAGUGUAAACGACAAUAGUCGAAAAUAGUAAUUUUCCAGCUCAAAUCAGUUUAAUCUUGAUAUACACUACCAGUCAAAAGUUUUUGAACAGUAAAAUCUUUAAUGUUUUUUAAAAGAAUCUCUUCUGCUCACCAAGCCUGCAUUUAUUUGAUCCAAAGAACAGAAUUUUUGAAAUAUUUUUACUGUUUAAAAUAACAUUUUUUUAUUUGAAUAUAUUUUAAAAUGUCAUUUAUUCCUGUGAUUUCAAAGCUGAAUUUUUAGCAUCAUUACUCCAGUCGCAUGAUCCUUCAGAUAUCAUUGUAAUAUUUUGAAUUGCUGCUCAAAAUACAUUUAUUAUUAUUAUUAUUAUGUUGAAAAUAGCUGACUAGAAUUUUUUCAGGUUUCUUUGAUGAAUAGGAAGUCAGAAGAACAGCAUUUAUUUAAAAUAAAAAUCUUUUGUAACAUGAUAAAUGUCUUCAUCAUCACUUUUGAUCAAUUUAAAGCAUCCUUGAUAAAUGAAAGCAUUAAUUUCUAUCAUUUCUUUCCCAAAAAAGCUUUUGAAUGGUAUAGUAUAUAAUGUUACAAAAGCUUUUUUAUUUCUGAUAAAUGCUGAUCUUUGGAUUUUUCUAUUCAUUGAAGAAUUCUGAAAAAACUCUGUUUUAAAUAUUGAUAAUAGUAAUAAUUUUGAAGGAUUAUGUGACACAGAAGAUCGGAGAAACGAUGACGAAAAUUUUGCUUUGAUCACAGGAAUAAAUUACAUUUUAAAAUAUAUUCAAAUAGAAAGCAGUUAUUUUAAUCAAAUAGAUCAAAUAAAUGCAGGCUUGGUGAGCAGAAGAGAUUUAAAAAAAACAAAAAACUUAAAAAUUUUAGUGUUCAAAAACUUUUGACUGGUAAUGCAGUUCAAUAACUGUGUAAAGUUCAGUUAAAAAAUGUUAAAAAUCAGCUAUAAGCUGCUCUACAAAAGGCAUAUUAUUAUCUUUUUUUAAUAUGAAGCUGUGCGAUUAUGAAUUUUGCGUCAGGGCAAAAAUAUUUUCCCAUCGCAAGGUAUUGCCAUUGUUUUUUGUCUGUGAAAUAGUGAUAAUUUGUACAUUCAUUGAUUUAAACUGAUAAUGUUGCAACUCAUCUUGUUGUUACAGCACUCCCUGUUCACCUUUACACCUUUACAAUAAAAUUGGGAAGAAAACAA